rnacentral:rRNA from 1 species
CCUACGGGUGACAGCAGUGGGGAAUCUUGGGCAAUGGGCGCAAGCCUGACCCAGCAACGCCGCGUGAAGGAAGAAGGCUUUCGGGUUGUAAACUUCUUUUAAGAGGGAAGAGCAGAAGACGGUACCUCUUGAAUAAGCUCCGGCUAACUACGUGCCAGCAGCCGCGGUAAUACGUAGGGAGCGAGCGUUGUCCGGAUUUACUGGGUGUAAAGGGCGUGCAGCCGGGAGUACAAGUCAGAUGUGAAAUCCCGCGGCUCAACCCCGUACUGCCGUUGAAACUGCAUCCCUUGAGUGCGCGAGAAGUAUGCGGAAUGCGUGGUGUAGCGGUGAAAUGCAUAGAUAUCACGCAGAACUCCGAUUGCGAAGGCAGCAUACCGGCGCGCAACUGACGCUCAUGCACGAAAGCGUGGGUAUCGAACAGGAUUAGAUACCCCAGUAGUC